AGGGCGCCAGGGUGCUCCAAAGAAGCACAGUCACUCGUCUAUUUGAAUGACCACACGGAGACACGCCAGCAGACACGUGGGCUCUUGAGGACUUCGUGUUGCCGUACUUUUUUUCGAGCUCGCGAGGCUGACGGGAGUUCUCCACCGGAACCCGAGAACGCUACCAUGGCAUCCAACAACAAUGUGCAUGUCAACCCUGAUCGUGCAGGCGAUGGAGGAACUUCAAACCACGAGAGCUUCAGAGACGACGGCGUUGGCCCUCCGCUUUCGCCGCAUUCUUCGAGAGAUAACCAAGCACCUCCACUGUAUCUAGAGUGUAUGCGUGUCGUGGCUACCCUCGCCGAGUGUAGAGCUCGUUGGGUCAUCCCUGUUGAGACGACAGAGUAUACUUGUAUAGCCUGUC